UACGAAGGGGGCUAGCGUUGCUCGGAAUCACUGGGCGUAAAGCGCACGUAGGCGGAUCUUUAAGUCGGGGGUGAAAUCCUGGAGCUCAACUCCAGAACUGCCUUCGAUACUGAGGACCUUGAGUCCGGGAGAGGUGAGUGGAACUGCGAGUGUAGAGGUGAAAUUCGUAGAUAUCUGGAGGAACACGGUGGCGAAGGCGGCAUCCUGGACCGAUACUGACGGCUGAGGAGCGAAAGCCAGGGGAGCAAACGGG
rnacentral:rRNA from 1 species